UUAAACUAACUUUAAAAGAAAGAAAAAUUUUGCAAGAGGAGAGCAAAUAUGGUAUGCUCUUAUGAGUUUUACCUUAAUCCCAACCCAUUAUACCUUCUAUCCUUCCACAAGCUUUUGUUUCCAUUUCAUUUGAACUUUUCCUGAGAAACUCUUGACUGGUUAAACAUAUUGUUAGGGUAUGUCAUAUGAUGUUUUGAGAUUCAGAAAAUAGGAUCAUAAUGAGUGUGUAAAACUUGUAAAACUUAGCUAGGGAAGGAGGCAUCAUUUUCUUUUAUUUUUUUUUUCUUUUAUUUUUUUUUCUUUUUAUCUGCUAGUGACGUCUAACUGCUUUUUAGCUAUAGUAUCACUUGUUUUUGUAGAAAGAAAAAUUUCGCAAGAGGAGAGCAAAUACGGUAUAGUCUUAUGAGUUUUACCUUUAUCCCAACCCAUUAUACCUUCUAUCCUUCCACAAGCCUAGAGAAUAAUAAGACGAAACAAGCUUUUGUUUCCAUUUCAUUUGAACUUUUCUUUAUAAACUCUGACUGGUUAAACAUAUUGUUAGGGUACGUGAUGUUUUGAGAUUCAGAAAAUAGGGUCACAAUGGGUAUGUAAAACUUGUCUAGGAAAGAAAAUAGAGUUAAAAUGGGUGUGUAAAACUUAGGGAAGGAGGCGUCAUUUUCCUUUUAUUCUUUUUCUUUUUGUCUGCUAGUGACGUCUAACCGCUUUUCAACUAUAAUACCACCUGUUUUUGUCACUUAAAUAUGUGUGCCUCUCUCCACGCCUGGCCAUUUAAUUCCUUCUGGCGUAUAUGCGGGCAGGGUUGCGAAGUAACUAGAUCUACUCCUCUAUCUCUCGCCAUGUCACCGAGCUAGACUUUUCUUGUACGGAGCCAUUCGUGUGGCCUGUCUGGCCUGCUUCACGUUACCAGAUUGAGAUACGCAGC
rnacentral:lncRNA from 1 species